rnacentral:rRNA from 1 species
UGGGGAAUAUUGCACAAUGGGGGAAACCCUGAUGCAGCGACGCCGCGUGAACGAAGAAGGUAUUCGUAUCGUAAAGUUCUGUCCUAUGGGAAGAUAAUGACAGUACCAUAGAAGAAAGCUCCGGCUAAAUACGUGCCAGCAGCCGCGGUAAUACGUAUGGAGCGAGCGUUGUCCGGAAUUAUUGGGCGUAAAGGGUACGAAGGCGGUUUAAUAAGUCGAAUGUUAAAGAUCGGGGCUCAACCCCGCAAAGCAUUGGAAACUGAUAAACUUGAGUAGUGGAGAGGAAAGUGGAAUUCCUAGUGUAGUGGUGAAAUACGUAGAUAUUAGGAGGAAUACCAGUAGCGAAGGCGACUUUCUGGACACAAACUGACGCUGAGGUACGAAAGCGUGGGGAGCAAACAGG